rnacentral:rRNA from 1 species
GACGAACGCUGGCGGCGUGCUUAACACAUGCAAGUCGAACGGAAAGGCCUCUUUCGGGGGGUACUCGAGUGGCGAACGGGUGAGUAACACGUGAGUAACCUGCCCUUGACUUUGGGAUAACUUCAGGAAACUGGGGCUAAUACCGGAUAGGAGCUCCUGCUGCCUGGUGGGGGUUGGAAAGUUUCGGCGGUUGGGGAUGGACUCGCGGCUUAUCCGCUUGUUGGUGGGGUAGUGGCUUACCAAGGCUUUGACGGGUAGCCGGCCUGAGAGGGUGACCGGCCACAUUGGGACUGAGAUACGGCCCAGACUCCUACGGGAGGAAGCAGUGGGGAAUAUUGCACAAUGGGUGGAAGCCUGAUGCAGCAACGCCGUGUGCGGGAUGACGGCCUUCGGGUUGUAAACCGCUUUCGCUCAUGACGAAGCUUUGUGUGACGGUAGUGGGUAAAGAAGCACCGGCUAACUACGUG